GGCUGGUCUGAGUGCAGGGGGUGUUUAAAACUAAUUGAUCACAACUAGUUACAGAUUCCUUUGUUCCUUCUCCACUCCCACUUGUUUCACUUGACUAACCUUUA
rnacentral:Y_RNA from 1 species